UUCCAGACUCCUACGGGAGGCAGCAGUGGGGAAUAUUGGACAAUGGGGGGAACCCUGAUCCAGCGACGCCGCGUGAGUGAAGAAGUAUUUCGGUAUGUAAAGCUCUAUCAGCAGGGAAGAAAGAAAUGACGGUACCUGACUAAGAAGCCCCGGCUAACUACGUGCCAGCAGCCGCGGUAAUACGUAGGGGGCAAGCGUUAUCCGGAUUUACUGGGUGUAAAGGGAGCGUAGACGGCAAUGCAAGUCUGGAGUGAAAGGCGGGGGCCCAACCCCCGGACUGCUCUGGAAACUGUAUAGCUGGAGUGCAGGAGAGGUAAGUGGAAUUCCUAGUGUAGCGGUGAAAUGCGUAGAUAUUAGGAGGAACACCAGUGGCGAAGGCGGUCUGCUGAACAGCAACUGACGCUGAGGCGCGAAAGCGUGGGGAGCAAACAGGAUUAGAUCCCCCCGUACG
rnacentral:rRNA from 1 species